rnacentral:rRNA from 1 species
AUUGAACGCUGGCGGCAGGCCUAACACAUGCAAGUCGAACGGCAGCACGGGAGCAAUCCUGGUGGCGAGUGGCGAACGGGUGAGUAAUAUAUCGGAACGUGCCCAGUCGUGGGGAUAACGUAGCGAAAGCUACGCUAAUACCGCAUACGAUCUAUGGAUGAAAGCGGGGGAUCGCAAGACCUCGCGCGAUUGGAGCGGCCGAUAUCAGAUUAGGUAGUUGGUGAGGUAAAGGCUCACCAAGCCGACGAUCUGUAGCUGGUCUGAGAGGACGACCAGCCACACUGGGACUGAGACACGGCCCAGACUCCUACGGGAGGCAGGCAGUGGGGAAUUUUGGACAAUGGGCGCAAGCCUGAUCCAGCAAUGCCGCGUGCAGGAUGAAGGCCU